rnacentral:rRNA from 1 species
UACGGGGGGGCAAGCGGUUGUUCGGAAUUACUGGGCGUAAAGGGCGCGUAGGCGGUGCUCUAAGUCGGAUGUGAAAACUCUGGGCUCAACCCAGAGCCUGCAUCCGAAACUGGAGUGCUAGAGUUCUGGAGGGGGUAGCGGAAUUCCUGGUGUAGCGGUGAAAUGCGUAGAUAUCAGGAGGAACACCGGUGGCGAAGGCGGCUACCUGGACAGAAACUGACGCUGAGGCGCGAAAGCUAGGGGAGCAAACAGG